AGUGAACGCUGGCGGUAGGCCUAACACAUGCAAGUCGAACGGCAGCACAGUAAGAGCUUGCUCUUACGGGUGGCGAGUGGCGGACGGGUGAGGAAUACAUCGGAAUCUACUUUUUCGUGGGGGAUAACGUAGGGAAACUUACGCUAAUACCGCAUACGACCUACGGGUGAAAGCAGGGGAUCUUCGGACCUUGCGCGAUUGAAUGAGCCGAUGUCGGAUUAGCUAGUUGGCGGGGUAAAGGCCCACCAAGGCGACGAUCCGGAGCUGGUCUGAGAGGAUGAUCAGACACACUGGAACUGAGACACGGUCCAGACUCCUACGGGAGGCAGCAGUGGGGAAUAUUGUACAAUGGGCGCAAGCCUGAUCCAGCCAUACCGCGUGGGUGAAGAAGGCCUUCGGGUUGUAAAGCCCUUUUGUUGGGAAAGAAAAGCAGCAGGUUAAUACCCCGCUGUUCUGACGGUACCCAAAGAAUAAGCACCGGCUAACUUCGUG
rnacentral:rRNA from 1 species